rnacentral:lncRNA from 1 species
AGCUAACUAACUAACUAACUGUAUUAAGCUAAUUAGUUCAUACUUAUUCAGUCUUCAUUUUGUCAUAGAUGAUGAACAGAAAAACAACAACAAUAAUAAUAAGAGGUAUAUGUAAUUAACCUGAGUAUUCUCAACUGAUUCAGAUGUCAUUGGUAUAUUAUUUAUCCUGUUAUGGUUGCGGUAUCUUUCAAUUGUUUCUGGAGUGCU